rnacentral:tRNA from 1 species
UCCCUGAUAGUCCAAUGGUUAGGACUCUGUGCUCUCACUGCUGAGGGCCUGGGUUCGAUACCUGGUCAGGGAA